CCCCUACGGGGCGCAGCAGUGGGGAAUAUUGCACAAUGGGGGAAACCCUGAUGCAGCGACGCCGCGUGGGUGACGAAGUAUUUCGGUAUGUAAAGCCCUAUCAGCAGGGAAGAAGAUGACAGUACCUGACUAAGAAGCCCCGGCUAACUACGUGCCAGCAGCCGCGGUAAUACGUAGGGGGCAAGCGUUAUCCGGAUUUACUGGGUGUAAAGGGAGCGUAGACGGUUAAGUAAGUCUGGAGUGAAAGGCCGGGGCCCAACCCCGGGACUGCUCCGGAAACUAUUGAACUUGAGUGCAGGAGAGGG
rnacentral:rRNA from 1 species